CCGUUUUGGAGGCGGGGCUUCUUCUUGGCUGUAAAUUGUAAAAUUUGCCUCAGACAAUCUCGGGACGCCGAGAGAGAAGGCAGCUUGGCCUGGGAGCCAUUCUGAAGGCCUGGGUCGGAAGAAAGAAAGAAAGAAAGAAAGAAAGAAAGGGCAGCCGCGGCUAGAAGGCCCGAAGAGACAGGCUCCGUUUCUGAAGCAGAAAUGGCAAAGCCUUGUGAAACAGACGGAAGAAAUAAAGGCAAAAUUUUUGAAAAUUUCCACAGCUUUUUCUGAAGGGACCAGCGCUGAAUUCAAGUCAACGUGAAGAAAGAAACAAAAGGUCGAGAGACAGAGGACGGAAGAUGCUUGAAGACACCCUCGCAAGGACACCGCCUGCCUCCCAAAAAAGGUCGUUUUCAGGGUAAUUGGUGUAAGGGUAGGCAUUUAAUGUCUAUCUUUGCAUUAAAAAAAGGGUUACCUUUGCACACGGUUCCCCUCGCGUGUGGCAUCGAAGAAGUCCCACUCGGGAACGGACGGGUCCUCCCUUUGUUCUAGGCAGAUGAUGGGUCUUCCUAUACGGGCCGUAGGGGUCACAGCUUGGGGGUCAGCGGGGGGGCCCGCCCUGGCAUCGCGGGGGGCAGCACACGUUACGGGCAUUUUAAGAUGUCCUUGCAACUUAGAAAUAAAAAUAUUAAUACCUUAACUCACUAACAUCCUACUAACACCAUUCUAAAUAGGGUACCCUGGCCUUUUAAAUAGGACUGUUCUGCCUGAUGGCAAGAACCAAGCUGGGAAGGGAGGGGGCCUCCUGGCCCCCCAUAAAAGGGCCCCCAUGUAAGGACAUUGCAAAAGGCCCCUAAGGUGUCCUGAGAGCAGCCUCUUGGUCCUUAGUGUGUUCCCCACGGAGCCAGGUCUGGGCCCCUUGCUCUCCCCCAACCCAUGGACCCUGCCGCUUGUAUAUCAUCCGUCCAGGGCCAACGGACGCCCCCUCCCUCCCCGGGCGGAGCUUCGAGGCCACACUCAAGGGGAGACCAGAGCCGUGUGCCUCAUGCCAACGCCUAGCACGUGGCGAACCUUUUUUUUUACUGCAAACAUAGGCAUCAUGAUUGUGAUUUUUGUUAAUUCCUUUUAAAUUUAAUUGUUUGUAUUUGAUAGCAUGGUAGGCUGGUUUUAUAUCAGUGAGCCGCCCCGAGUCCCUCUGGGGAGACGGUGGCAGGGUACAAAAAUAAAAUUAUUAUUAUUAUUAUUGAUUCGAGGCACCUGGAAAAAGAAAUACCAGGAAGCAGAUAAAAUUAUUAUUAUUAUUAUUAUUGAUUCGAGGCACCUGGAAAAAGAAAUACCAGGAAGCAGAUAAAAUUAUUAUUAUUUAUUAUAGGCACCUGGAAAAAGAAAUACCAGGAAGCAGAUAAAAUUAUUAUGAUUAUGAUUAUUAUUAUUAUUAUUGAUUCCAGGAAAAAGAAAUACCAGGAAGCAGAUAAAAUUAUUAUUGUUAUUGUUCUUGUUAUUAUUAUGUAUAUUUAUGUAAGGCCACACACCCAGGGGACCACUAUUCCUAAUUAAAGCCUGGUUAAAGGGGAUCCUCUAUUCUUAAAGUUAGGCGUAUAGAGAUCUCCUAUCCAGAAACUAAUGCGGCCUGCCCUAUAGAGAUCUGUUAAACCAAGGCGGCCUGCCCUAUAGAGAUCUCCUAUUUCACGUAACACCAGGCAAUAUGGAGAUCCCUGGUUUUUUUAACCAUUAAAUCCCUUACGUGGGGAUAUCCCUGGUUAUUUUAACCGUUAAAUCCCUUACGUGGGGAUAUCCCUGGUUAUUUUAACCUUUAAGUCCCUUACGUGGGGAAAUCCCUGGUUUUUUUAACCUUUAAGGCCAGAUGUGGGGAUUUCCUUGCUUCUUUUAACCCGUGAGGCCAGCCAUGGGGAGAUAUCUUAGGCUGUUUUCAUGAAAAGUCAGGUAUAGACGCACUGUUUUCUCUCCCGUUCCAUGUGCCUGGACUCCCGGAGGGCUCCUGCCGGACACCGUCUCCCAUCGGCCGAGAGGGAUCCUUCCUGUCUGGGAAGGAUCUGCAACACAGGUAAAAAGAAGAUUCCGGGAAGGAGAUUCUACAGCGCAGCCCUUAAGCCAGGUGAGACACUCCUUCCAGCCUCCACGGCUGCCUUGCACACACACACACAUGAGACACACAAACACACAUGACACACACAAACACAUACACAUGUACAGCUGGUGCCCACGGGGACUCUUCCCCAAUAGAUCGGGGACUCCCACUCCGGCGAUUGGCCAUUGUAAAUGCCUUGAAGCAGUUUGGGGCUUCCGGCCAAGCGCUUGCAAAGAGAAUCCAUUCAAGGUUGCACCCCCUUUUAAAGGGCCUGGCACGUGGUAUUUAUUCCUGGCACGUGGAAAACUCCAUUUGUAAGGCAAACCCUCGUUAAAGGAGGUUUGCAAUUAGUUUAAAACCAGGCUUCUGAGGGACCCCCUGCGUUUAAAGCCAAACCUAGCAGGUAGGAACCCCUUGGUUAACGUAAGGCGAGGGACCCUCCAUAUUUAAUAAGAUGCCUGGCAGAAUCUUAACCUAAAUGCAGGCCUAUGGGCUACAGCCUAUUCUGCAUAGCCAGGCAUGGGGGGACCCCAGAUUAUUAACUUGAAGCCUGGGAAAAGGAGAUUUUCGUAUUUACAUAUUUAUUUAUUACAAUAUUUAUAUCCGGCCCUCUCUCCCCUUAAAAGGGGACUCAGAGCGGCUUACAAGUGAUAUUUACAUAUUUAUUACAAUAUUUAUAUCCGGCCCUCUCUCCCCUUAAAAGGGGACUCAGAGCGGCUUACAAGUGAUAUUUACAUAUUUAUUUAUUACAAUAUUUAUAUCCGGCCCUCUCUCCCCUUAAAAGGGGACUCAGAGCGGCUUACAAGUGAUAUUUACAUAUUUAUUUAUUACAAUAUUUAUAUCCGGCCCUCUCUCCCCUUAAAAGGGGACUCAGAGCGGCUUACAAGUGAUAUUUACAUAUUUAUUUAUUACAAUAUUUAUAUCCCGCCCUCUCUCCCCUUAAAAGGGGACUCAGAGCGGCUUACAAGUGAUAUUUACAUAUUUAUUUAUUACAAUAUUUAUAUCCGGCCCUCUCUCCCCUUAAAAGGGGACUCAGAGCGGCUUACAAGUGAUAUUUACAUAUUUAUUUAUUACAAUAUUUAUAUCCCGCCCUCUCUCUCCUUAAAAGGGGACUCAGCGCGGCUCAACAAUAAGACGCAUAUAUAAAAACCACACAGUGCAAUAUAAAUCAUCACUAACUUACAUCAGUAUUCAUAAAACACAUUAUAAAAUACAGAUAGGUGUGUUCAGUUCAAAUCCAUUUAAGGUAUACGUGGACCCCCUUUUAAUGCCAACCUUUCCACGUGGAAAACUAUUUGUAAGGCAAACCCUCGUUAAAGGAGGUUUGCAAUUAAUUAAAAACCAGGCUUCUGAGGGACCCGCUGCGUUUAAAGCCAAACCUAGCAGGUGGGAACCCCUUCGGUUAACGCAAGGUGAGGGACCCUCUAUUUUUAAUAGGAUGCCUGGGAGAAUCUUAACCUAAAUGCAGGCCUAUGGGCUACAGCCUAUUCUGCAUAGCCAGGCAUGGGGGGACCCCAUAUGAUUAAUUUGAAGCCUGGUAAAAGGAGAUUUUUGUAUUUAUUACAUUUAUAUCCCGCCCUCUCUCCCCUUAAAAGGGGACUCAGAGUGGCUUACGAGUUAUAUUUACAUAUUUAUUUAUUUAUUACAAUAUUUAUAUCCCGCCCUCUCUCCCCUUAAAGGGGACUCAGGGCAGCUUAACAAUAAGACGCAUAUAUAAAAAACCAUACAGUGCAAUGUAAGUCAUCAUUAACUUACAUCAGUAUUCAUAAAACACAUCAUAAAAUACAGAUAGGUGUAUUACAUACACUAUAUCAUUAGCAUCGCACAAUAUUAGCAUUAUAUAUUACUACAUUGCAUUAUACCACUAUACAGAAACGUUAUUAGCAAUAUUACAUUUAAUAUAUUAUAUGUAAUUCAUAUUAUUAUAUUGUAUCAUUGUUAGUAUUAUAUUGCAUUACUUAUUUAUUUGCUAGAUGUAUACGCUGCCCUUCUCACCCCCAAGGUGAACAGCUUACAAAUUAAAUGUACAUACAAUAUUAAUAUUAUUACCAUAGUACAAUACUGGCAGUAAAUUACUAUAUUGUACUAUAUGAAUAUAUGGUAAUGUUAUUAGUAGUAUUACAUGCAAAAUGUAAUACAUAAUUAAUAUUAUUAUAUUUUAUGAUUAGUAUAUCGUAUUACAAUAUAAUAAUAUGAACAUUAUAUGUUUAUGCAAUAUGUUAUAAUUAUAUAUUAAAUUUUUUAUAUACAUACAUAUAUAUACACAUAGUAGAGUCAUCCAACAGAAAUGGGCCAGCGAAUAUUUUUUUAUUUAUUUACAGCAUUUUACCGGGCUGGCCUCGAACUCAUGACCUGGUCAGAGUGAUUUGUUGAUAUUUAUUAUUCAUUUACAGCAUUUAUAUUCCGCCCUUCCUUCUCACCCCGAAGGGGACUCAGGGCGGAUCACAUGACACAUAUAGGCAAACAUUCAAUGCCUUUUAACAUAGAACAAAGACAAACAAACAUGCUCCGAGCGGGCCUCGAACUCGUGACCUCCUGGUCAGAGUGAUUCAUUGCAGUUAAUUGCAGCUGGCUUGCUUUCCAGCCUGCGCUGUUGGAUAAUAAGGAGGCAUUAUGGAAAAGCCUAUUAAACAUCAAAUUAGUUGAUGAUUUUACAAAUUAAGCACCAAAACAUCAUUUGACAGAAAAAGUAGUUCAAUAUGCAGUAAUGCUAUGUAGUAAUUACUGUAUUUACGGAUUUAGCACCAAAAUAUCACGACGCAUUGAAAACAUGGACUACAAAAAUGCGUUGAAUAAUCCAGAAUGUUGGAUAAGAGAGUGUUGGAUGAGACUACUGUAUAUACAAUAUAAAUUAGAAUAGCAUGUUAUUGGGGGAGGAGCAUCUUGGUUAUUAGAUGUUUUUAUUAGUUAUUGAUAUUAGUAUAGAUAUGACAUUGAGUAUAUAUUAUCCUAGCACAAUGUUAAUAUUAGUUAUUCAUAUUAGUCUCUAUGACAUUAAUAGAGUACAUUAUUAUCCUAGCACAAUGUUAUUAGAUGUUAAUAUUAGUUAUAUAUAAUAGUCUCCAUAUGACAUUAAUAGAGUAUAUUAUUAUUCUAGCACAAUGUUAUUACAUAGGACCAUGUUGUUGCUAGGGGGAGGGCCCCCCCACUGAUUGUAUUAUUAGUAUUAUGUUGUUGCUAGGGGGAGGGCCCCCCAACUGAGAUCCCCUGUCAUUAAUGUGUCAGACCAGGCAUUUCACUCCUACCUUUGCAUCAGAAAGCAGGCUCCCUGUGCGCUAGGCCUUCCUUUGAGGAACACAUUCACGGCUCCGCUUGAGUGGGGCAUUGAGGCCCCACUCAGGGACGGGCGGGUCCUCCCUUUGCCCUGGGCAGAUCGUGGGGGGUGGGCGGAUCUCCCUAGACGGGCAGGGGGUCGCGGCUGGCGGGACAGCGGGAUAUAAAAAUAUAAAUAUAUAUAUUAAAACCCUUGCACCCAAGGAAACAACUCUGGGGACCCGAGCGGCUGCUCCCAGCUCACGUCACGGGCAUUUUAAACAUCUCGUAGCAGCUCAGAUUAAUACCUGAACUAACCUUAACCUGCUAACCCUACUAACCCAUUUCUAACUAGAGCAGGAAUAGGGCUGUUUUUGCCUGUUGGCAAGAACCAAGCUGGGAGGGGGCCUCCGGGCCUCGGGUGGGAAGAACCCUAACCCUGUCCCUGCCCUGCGCUGGGAGCGCCCCCCCUCGGGACCCCAGUGUUUGGUCCCCGCUCUCCCCCAAUCCGACGGCCUAGAAAGCCCCUCCGCCAUCCGCCCAGGGCCAACGGACAGCCCUCCCUCCCCGGCAGCCGCGUUCCUCAUGCAACAGGGAGCCUGGUUCUGGAUGCAAACGUGGGACCCCCUUAGGACCCCCUUUUCUCUGUGCAGGGACCCCCGCUCCCCAUAAAUAAAUGCCUGGUGGAAGGGGAUCCUAGUAGAAAAAGCCACAGUUCCCAAGAGCCCCCAAAAGCGAGAUGCUCCCUUGGUUCAGCCUUUCUGACACUUGUUUUCUCCCUUGUUCUAUGUCUCCGGAAUCGCCGAGGGAGGGGCUCCUCCUGGACAAGAGCCAAGGACGGACAGAUGGAUGGACGGACGGAAGAAGAUCCCAGAGAGCAGGACGCCUUGCCGUUCUGGCUGCUGAGCUCGACCCCUUUCCAACAAUGUCAGCGUUCCAGAAUAAAACUCUUCCCAAAAAAAGGUGUUUUCUGGUUAUUAUUCAAACGUUUAAUUUUUGACAGCCUUAAACAUCUAGAUUACAAUACAGUUUGUGCUGCUGCCUUUUAUAAACCUUGUUUUCUACAAAUAAAGUCAAGAGAAACACUAUAAGUUUUGCACUGUGCUCAGACUCAUUGUUCUGAUAUUCUGUUAUAUGGUUUUAUUAUUUAUAUCGUUUUAAUGUAUGACUUUAUUACAUGUGACAUGGGAGCGGGGUAUAAAAAUAAAGUAUUAUUAAUAAACACCACAAUUUUCUUGCACCCCAAGUACAUCUGGCCAUUGCCAAAGAGUAUUUAACUGCCUACAUGGCACUAAAGUGUAUUUAUAUGUUGAUUGUUUCUAUUGAUUUUAUGUAAUGUUUGCUUUAUUUGCAUUGAAUUUUUGUCUGGAUGUAUCUUGUAUGCCGCUCAUCUCCAUAAAUGAGCGGGAUAGAAAUGAGGUUAAUAAUUUUACGAAUGUUUUAAUGUAACUUGAAUUUUAAAUUGAGUUGAAAUGUGAUUGUGAUUGUUUAUAAGUGUUAUCUAUUUGUAAGCCACCCUGAGUCUCCUCUUGGGUGAUAAGGUCUGGGAAGAAAUACUGUCAUAAAUAAAUAAAAUAUUCUGUGUCCA